rnacentral:rRNA from 1 species
GCGGCCCUUGGAUCGACUAAGCCAUGCGAGUCGAGAGGGUUCGGCCCUCGGCUGACGGCUCAGUAACACGUGGAUAAUCUGCCCUAAGGUGGAGGAUAACCUCGGGAAACUGAGAAUAAUACUCCAUAAGUCUAGGAUGCUGGAAUGCACUUAGGCUGAAAACUUCGGUGCCUUAGGAUGAGUCUGCGGACUAUCAGGUUGUAGUCAGGGUAAAGACCUGACUAGCCUACGACGGAUACGGGUUGUGAGAGCAAUAACCCGGAGAUGAUAUCUGAGACACGAUAUCAGGCCCUACGGGGCGCAGCAGGCGCGAAAACUUCACACUGCGCGGAAGCGCGAUGAGGGAAUCCCAAGUGUAUGCACGUAAGUGUAUACUGUUUCUCUGUCUAAAAAGCAGAGAGAGUAAGAGCUGGGUAAGACGGGUGCCAGCCGCCGCGGUAAUACCUGCAGCUCAAGUGGUGAUCGUUAUUAUUGGGCCUAAAACGUCCGUAGCCGGUCUUGUAAAUGCCUGGGUAAAUCGUAUGGCUUAACCAUACGAAUUCCGGGUAGACUGUUAGACUUGAGACCGGGAGAAGCUAGAGGUACUCCUGGGGUAGAGGUGAAAUUCUGUAAUCCUAGGGGGACCACCAGUGGCGAAGGCGUCUAGCUAGAACGGGUCUGACGGUGAGGGACGAAGCCCUGGGGCGCAAACGGGAUUAGAUACCCGGGUAGUCCCAGCUGUAAACGAUGCGGGCUAGGUGUAGGGGCAGCUACGAGCUGCUCCUGUGCCGCAGAGAAAUUGUUAAGCCCGCCGCCUGGGGGAGUACGAUCGCAAGAUUGAAACUUAAAGGAAUUGGCGGGGGAGCACCACAAGGGGUGAAGGCUGCGGUUUAAUUGGAGUCAACGCCGGG